UACGUAGGGGGGCUAGCGUUGUCCGGAUUUAUUGGGCGUAAAGAGCGUGUAGGCGGCCAGGUAGGUCUGCUGUGAAAACUCGAGGCUCAACCUCGAGACGUCGGCGGAAACCAUCUGGCUAGAGUCCGGAAGAGGAGAGUGGAAUUCCUGGUGUAGCGGUGAAAUGCGCAGAUAUCAGGAAGAACACCCGUGGCGAAGGCGGCUCUCUGGGACGGUACUGACGCUGAGACGCGGAAAGCGUGGGGAGCGAACAGG
rnacentral:rRNA from 1 species